rnacentral:lncRNA from 10 species
CCUAGAUUCAGCCCAGUUUUCUUAUGUUAAGUCUCUUAUGUUCUGUAUCUUUGGUUUUUUUUUUUCCUCUUUAUUUCACCUGGUAUUCCUUUAAUUCUAUCUUUUAAUCCUUCAAAUUAUUGUUUUUAUUUAUGUAUUGUAUGUACAAUUUCUAAUAACUUUUCUUCUCAUGUGUUUCUUUUUAUGUUAUUUUUUAAUAUUAUAAUCUUCUAAUUUCUCUAAAAGCAUCUUAUAUUUUCUUAUGUGUUUUCUUCUUGUUUUUAUGUUUGGGAGAAUGCCGAUUCCUCACUCUUCAUCAUUUCUUUGGUAUAGAAGAAAAUAUAUAACGUAACCUACAUGAAUUUUUU